rnacentral:rRNA from 1 species
AGAGUUUGAUCUUGGCUCAGAAUGAACGCUGGCGGCAGGCCUAACACAUGCAAGUCGAGCGGAUGACGGGAGCUUGCUCCUUGAUUCAGCGGCGGACGGGUGAGUAAUGCCUAGGAAUCUGCCUGGUAGUGGGGGACAACGUUUCGAAAGGAGCGCUAAUACCGCAUACGUCCUACGGGAGAAAGCAGGGGACCUUCGGGCCUUGCGCUAUCAGAUGAGCCUAGGUCGGAUUAGCUAGUUGGUGAGGUAAUGGCUCACCAAGGCGACGAUCCGUAACUGGUCUGAGAGGAUGAUCAGUCACACUGGAACUGAGACACGGUCCAGACUCCUACGGGAGGCAGCAGUGGGGAAUAUUGGACAAUGGGCGAAAGCCUGAUCCAGCCAUGCCGCGUGUGUGAAGAAGGUCUUCGGAUUGUAAAGCACUUUAAGUUGGGAGGAAGGGCAUUAACCUAAUACGUUAGUGUUUUGACGUUACCGACAGAAUAAGCACCGGCUAACUCUGUGCCAGCAGCCGCGGUAAUACAGAGGGUGCAAGCGUUAAUCGGAAUUACUGGGCGUAAAGCGCGCGUAGGUGGUUUGUUAAGUUGGAUGUGAAAGCCCCGGGCUCAACCUGGGAACUGCAUCCAAAACUGGCAAGCUAGAGUACGGUAGAGGGUGGUGGAAUUUCCUGUGUAGCGGUGAAAUGCGUAGAUAUAGGAAGGAACACCAGUGGCGAAGGCGACCACCUGGACUGAUACUGACACUGAGGUGCGAAAGCGUGGGGAGCAAACAGGAUUAGAUACCCUGGUAGUCCACGCCGUAAACGAUGUCAACUAGCCGUUGGAAUCCUUGAGAUUUUAGUGGCGCAGCUAACGCAUUAAGUUGACCGCCUGGGGAGUACGGCCGCAAGGUUAAAACUAAAAAGAAUUGACGGA